CAGCCUUAUUGCUGAUCGAAAGUUUGAGUGAUCUGGAUAGAAGAUCUAACUAGCCACAAUAUUCCCUUAAACCAAAGCCUAAUCCAGAGUAAGGCUUUAACUCUCAUCUAUUCUCUAAAGCCUGAAAGAGGUGAGGAAGCUGCAGAAAGAAAGUUUGAAACUGGCGGAGAUCGGUUCAUGACAUUUAAGGAAAGAAGGUGUCUCCAUAACAUAAAACCACAAGCCCCAUGGUGCUUAGAAACUUGGAUUGAGAGUCAAACAGGCCUAGGUUCAAAUUGCACAUCUACAACUUCCUAGCUGAAUGUUUGUUGAGUUGGUGCUUUCUUUUGAAGCUCUUGUGAGCUCCACUUUCUGCCGUGAACACUGGACCAGAUGUUGCUAUUUAGUAUCAUCAAGGAUUAGAAGAGGAAUGGAAUUUCCUGUCCUUUGGGGAGCAGAAGGCCCUGAGAGGAAAAUACUCUGUUGGCUUAACAUGCAUUAAAGAUAUCCUUUAUUACUGAAAAAGAAUGGUGACAUUUAUAUUUAACAAUAUAAUAAAUGUAUUAGAUAGCAACAAGCUGCAGAGGGUCAUCUUAUAUAAUUUUCUACAUUUGUCAGGUGCUUCUCAAACUCCUUAUAUAUGUCAGGUGCUAUUUUGUUUGUUAGUGUUGUAACUAGGACCUUUUCAUCAACCAUGUUUUCCAACAUAUUGUCCUUCGAAUGUGUUAAAAUUACUGAUUUUUUUUUAUAACAACUUGGUAAUCCGUACCCUUGCUGGACGUAUUGCUUUGGAAAAAACAUUUGUAGCCCUGAUUUUUUAAGUAUAUAAUUACAUUUUGUGCAAAUAUUAAUGUUGUAUUUCUUCUUUUUAAGUAUUUAUAGUCCUUAUUUUGACCUUUGUCUAAUUUUAUUGGCUAACACUGACAGAACAAUGCUAAUUAAUGCACAGAGUAGCAACAACAUUUUUAUAUUUCUAACAUUUAAGGAUUUGUUUAUAGUAAAACUAAUGUGUUUGCAUUUUUAAUUGAUUUUAUAAGCUAGGGAAUGUCCCUAUAUAUGGGAACACUAAGUAUGUAGUAUGUACUAAUUUGCAAAAUAUAUAUACGCACACUAUUCUAUAUAAGUAAGAAAUCAUUUUAACUAGACAACUAACUCCAGAAUAAGUAGUUACUAUGU